rnacentral:lncRNA from 1 species
GCUUCUUCAACUGUCAACAUCAGUGUACAGAGCUUUGGUGGACUUUGGAUUGAGGUGGAAACUCCUUAGCCAAGCCUGAGGAGACGCUGGUGCUACAGGCUCUGAUUUGGAUAACUGGUCUCCAAUUUGUCCAUGAUCUUCCCAGGCCCAAGAUGUCAUUUCAGAGUUAAAUGCUUGUUAAUAUGACAAGAAGACAAAGAGAUAAAGCAUUGUAUAUUUAAAACCACAGAAAAAUCUGUAAGACUGCUGGAUCUCCUCUCUCUCUCCCUGUCUCUCUCUCCAUCCUUUAUGGCUUUUCCCUUAGGAUCUGAAAAAAGGAUAUGAUUAAUAUUUCACAUUUAGUUAAGGACCACAAAGGUAGUAGAAGUCUGGACAAGUCUUCCAAAAUUUUAUUUGUAACUAUUAUAAACAAAUUUUGAAAAGCCAAUUAUUCCCUAGCAUGCUUUAAGUUGACA